AUUGAACGCUGGCGGCAUGCCUUACACAUGCAAGUCGAACGGCAGCACGGGAGCAAUCCUGGUGGCGAGUGGCGAACGGGUGAGUAAUAUAUCGGAACGUGCCCGGUCGUGGGGAUAACGUAGCGAAAGCUACGCUAAUACCGCAUACGAUCUACGGAUGAAAGCGGGGGAUCGCAAGACCUCGCGCGAUUGGAGCGGCCGAUAUCAGAUUAGGUAGUUGGUGAGGUAAAGGCUCACCAAGCCGACGAUCUGUAGCUGGUCUGAGAGGACGAUCAGCCACACUGGGACUGAGACACGGCCCAGACUCCUACGGGAGGCAGCAGUGGGAAUUUUGGACAAUGGGCGCAAGCCUGAUCCAGCAAUGCCGCGUGCAGGAUGAAGGCCUUCGGUUGUAAACGUGCUUUGUUACGGAACGAACGGUAGAG
rnacentral:rRNA from 1 species